rnacentral:rRNA from 1 species
GACGAACGCUGGCGGCGUGCCUAAUACAUGCAAGUAGAACGCUGAAGGAGGAGCUUGCUUCUCUGGAUGAGUUGCGAACGGGUGAGUAACGCGUAGGUAACCUGCCUGGUAGCGGGGGAUAACUAUUGGAAACGAUAGCUAAUACCGCAUAAGAGUAGAUGUUGCAUGACAUUUGCUUAAAAGGUGCAAUUGCAUCACUACCAGAUGGACCUGCGUUGUAUUAGCUAGUUGGUGGGGUAACGGCUCACCAAGGCGACGAUACAUAGCCGACCUGAGAGGGUGAUCGGCCACACUGGGACUGAGACACGGCCCAGACUCCUACGGGAGGCAGCAGUAGGGAAUCUUCGGCAAUGGACGGAAGUCUGACCGAGCAACGCCGCGUGAGUGAAGAAGGGUGUCGGAUCGUAAAGCUCUGUUGUAAGAGAAGAACGAGGGUGAGAGUGGAAAGUUCACACUGUGACGGUAUCUUACCAGAAAGGGACGGCUAACUACGUG